CCUGGGGAGUACGGUUCGCAAAGAAUUAAAAACUUCAAAUGAAAUUGACGGGGGGCCCGGCACAAAGCGGUGGAGCAUGUGGUUUAAUUCGAUGCAACGCGAAGAACCUUACCUACUCUUGACAUCCAGAGAAUCCUGCGGAGACGCGGGAGUGCCUUCGGGAACUCUGAGACAGGUGCUGCAUGGCUGUCGUCAGCUCGUGUUGUGAAAUGUUGGGUUAAGUCCCGCAACGAGCGCAACCCUUAUCCUUGUUUGCCAGCGAGUAAUGUCGGGAACUCCAGGGAGACUGCCGGUGAUAAACCGGAGGAAGGUGGGGACGACGUCAAGUCAUCAUGGCCCUUACGAGUAGGGCUACACACGUGCUACAAUGGCGCAUACAGAGGGCAGCGAACUUGCGAGAGUAAGCGAAUCCCAAAAAGUGCGUCGUAGUCCGGAUUGGAGUCUGCAACUCGACUCCAUGAAGUCGGAAUCGCUAGUAAUCGUGAAUCAGAAUGUACACGGUGAAUACGUUCCCGGGCCUUGUACACAC
rnacentral:rRNA from 1 species